rnacentral:rRNA from 1 species
ACCAUCCAUUGAGUUUGGGCCUUACCCCGGGAAACCGGGGCAAAUACCCAAUAAUCCGUUCCUUCACAUGGAGGAACUCUGGAAGACGGCUUCGGCUGUCUCUGCUGGAAGGGCCCACGGCGCAGUAGCUAGGUGGUGAGGUAACGGCUUACCAAGGGGACCAUGCGUGACCCACCUGAAAGGGUGAUCGGCCACACUGGGACUGACACUCGGCCCAGACUCCUACGGGAAGCACCAAUAGGGAAUCUUCCACAAUGGACGGAAGUCUGAUGGAACAACGCCGCGUGAACGAAGAAGGUUUUCGGAUCGUAAAGCUCUGUUGUUAAGGAAGAACAAGUAUUAGAAUAACUGCCUGUUCCUUGACGGGACCCCAUUAAAAAACCACGGCUAACUGCGUGCCCACAACCGCGGUAAUACCUAAGUGGAAAGCCUUGUCCGAAAUUAUUGGCCGUAAAGCGCGCGCGGGCGGCCUUUUAAGUUUGAUUUUAAAGCCCACGGCUUAACCCUCCAAGGUCAUUGGAAACUGGGAGGCUUGACUACAAAA